rnacentral:rRNA from 1 species
GAUGAACGCUGGCGGCGUGCCUAAUACAUGCAAGUCGAGCGAACGGACGAGAAGCUUGCUUCUCUGAUGUUAGCGGCGGACGGGUGAGUAACACGUGGAUAACCUACCUAUAAGACUGGGAUAACUUCGGGAAACCGGAGCUAAUACCGGAUAAUAUUUUGAACCGCAUGGUUCAAAAGUGAAAGACGGUCUUGCUGUCACUUAUAGAUGGAUCCGCGCUGCAUUAGCUAGUUGGUAAGGUAACGGCUUACCAAGGCAACGAUGCAUAGCCGACCUGAGAGGGUGAUCGGCCACACUGGAACUGAGACACGGUCCAAACUCCUACGGGAGGCAGCAGUAGGGAAUCUUCCGCAAUGGGCGAAAGCCUGACGGAGCAACGCCGCGUGAGUGAUGAAGGUCUUCGGAUCGUAAAACUCUGUUAUUAGGGAAGAACAUAUGUGUAAGUAACUGUGCACAUCUUGACGUUACCUAAUCAGAAAGCCACGGCUAACUACGUG